AACGAACGCUGGCGGCAUGCCUAACACAUGCAAGUCGAACGAGACCUUCGGGUCUAGUGGCGCACGGGUGCGUAACGCGUGGGAACCUGCCCUUAGGUUCGGAAUAACUCCCCGAAAGGGGUGCUAAUACCGGAUAAUGUCUUCGGACCAAAGAUUUAUCGCCUUUGGAUGGGCCCGCGUUGGAUUAGCUAGUUGGUAGGGUAAAAGCCUCUCGAGGCGACGAUACAUAGCUGGUUUGAGAGGAUGAUCAGCCACACUGGAACUGAGACACGGCCCAGACUCCUACGGGAGGCAGCAGUGGGGAAUAUUGGACAAUGGGCGAAGGCCUGAACCAGCAAUGCGGCGUGAGUGAUGAAGGCCUUAGGAGUGUAAAGCUCUUUUACCCGGGAUGAUAAUGACAGUACCGGGAGAAUAAGCGCCGGCUAACUCCGUG
rnacentral:rRNA from 1 species